GUGGGGAAUCUUCCGCAAUGGACGAAAGUCUGACGGAGCAACGCCGCGUGAGUGAUGAAGGUCUUCGGAUUGUAAAGCUCUGUUAAUCGGGACGAAAGAGCCUAGUGUGAAUAAUGCUAGGAAGUGACGGUACCGGAAUAGAAAGCCACGGCUAACUACGUGCCAGCAGCCGCGGAAAUACGUAGGUGGCAAGCGUUGUCCGGAAUUAUUGGGCGUAAAGCGCGCGCAGGCGGAUCUGCCAGUCUGUCUUAAAAGUUCGGGGCUUAACCCCGUGAUGGGAUGGAAACUACAGAUCUAGAGUAUCGGAGAGGAAAGUGGAAUUCCUAGUGUAGCGGUGAAAUGCGUAGAUAUUAGGAAGAACACCAGUGGCGAAGGCGACUUUCUGGACGAAAACUGACGCUGAGGCGCGAAAGCCAGGGGAGCGAACGGGAUUAGAAACCCUUGUAGUCC
rnacentral:rRNA from 1 species